UGAGGAAUAUUGCUCAAUGGAGGCAACUCUGACGCAGCCAUGCCGCGUGCAGGAAGAAGGCGCUACGCGUUGUAAACUGCUUUUAUCCGGGAAGAAACCCCUCCACGCGUGGAGGGUUGACGGUACCGGAGGAAUAAGCACCGGCUAACUUCGUGCCAGCAGCCGCGGUAAUACGAAGGGUGCAAGCGUUAUCCGGAUUCAUUGGGUUUAAAGGGUGCGUAGGCGGGAUAGCAAGUCAGUGGUGAAAUCCCGUGGCUUAACCACGGAAUUGCCAUUGAUACUGCUGUUCUUGAGUACGCUCGACGUGGGCGGAAUGUGCCGUGUAGCGGUGAAAUGCUUAGAUAUGGCACAGAACACCUAUAGUGAAGACAGCUCACGAGGGCGAAACUGACGCUGAGGCACGAAAGCGUGGGGAUCAAACA
rnacentral:rRNA from 1 species